GGUUGAUCCUGCCAGUAGUCAUAUGCUUGUCUCAAAGAUUAAGCCAUGCAUGUCUAAGUAUAAGCGAAUUUAUACAGUGAAACUGCGAAUGGCUCAUUAAAUCAGUUAUAGUUUAUUUGAUAGUACCUUACCAAAGGAUAACCCUGGUAAUUCUAGAGCUAAUACUUAUUAAAAACCCCGACUGUUUGGGAGGGGUGUAUUUAUUAGAUAAAAAAUCAAUGCCUUCGGGCUCUUUGAUGAUUCAUAAUAACUUCUCGAAUCGCAUGGCUUCGUGCCGGCGAUGGUUCAUUCAA
rnacentral:rRNA from 1 species